CAUCCACUUAUCCUCGAGAGGCGGACAAAAACUUCACCUGCCCUUCAGCUCCGCCCUCCGGUUGGCUCUCCCGCCUCUUACCCGGUCCCACUGCGCCCGCCGCGCUGCCAACCACCGGGUAGAGUCAACAUGGUUCAUCCACCGAAGCUGUAGGCGACGAUAAAGACACCUCUCCGUUUUCAACUGAAUCCAGAACAGACACUGCCAAAAGUUACUGCUAGAGGGACUGUGAAGAUGUCAUUGACCACCACUCUCUAUCUCCUGGCAAUGGUGGCAAUGUGUGACCAGGUUAAAUCUCAUCGCAUCAACUUCUACAAUGUCAAACCUCCUGUGGAAGCCACUCCGUUCCCUAAGAGCUUCAAGUGCUUCACCUGUGAGAGAGCUGUGGACAACUACACCUGCAACCGCUGGGCUGAGGACAAGUGGUGUCCACCGAAUAGCCAGUUCUGUAUGACAGUGCACCAUUUCACCAGUCACGGCAAGACCAAGUUUGUGACCAAGAAGUGUGCUGCUCGUGAGGAGUGUCAUACGUCUGGCUGUAGACACCACAGGGACACGGGUCACACUGAGUGUGUGUCAUGCUGUGAGGGUAUGAUCUGCAAUGUGGAGGUCCCUACCAACCACACCAAUGCUGUGAUUGCCAUGAGGCAGCAGGCCUACAGCUCAGCCCCAUCCCAGACUCCUGUUAGGACGACGUGGAGCUGCUGCUGGCUGACGUUACUGCCCACUCUGGGCCUGGGGCUGACCAGGCUGGUCCUACUGUGAAACUACUGUCCCUCAGACCAGGUCCCUAUAGAGGGGACCAGACUGGACCAGACCAACAUGUCCCUCAGACCAGGUCCCUAUAGAGGGGACCAGACUGGACUAGACCAACAUGUCCCUCAGACCAGGUCUCUAUAGAGGGGACCAGACUGGGCCAGACCAACAUGUCCCUCAGACCAGGUCCCUAUAGAGGGGACCAGACUGGGCCAGACCAACAUGUCCCUCAGACCAGGUCCCUAUAGAGGGGACCAGACUGGACCAGACCAACAUGUCCCUCAGACCAGGUCUCUAUAGAGGGGACCAGACUGGACCAGACCAACAUGUCCCUCAGACCUGGUCCCUAUAGAGGGGACCAGACUGGACCAGACCAACAUGUCCCUCUGACCAGGUCCCUAUAGAGGGGACCAGACUGGACCAGACCAACAUGUCCCUCAGACCAGGUCCCUAUAGAGGGGACCAGACUGGACCAGACCAACAUGUCCCUCAGACCAGGUCCCUAUAGAGGGGACCAGACUGGACUAGACCAACAUGUCCCUCAGACCAGGUCUCUAUAGAGGGGACCAGACUGGGCCAGACCAACAUGUCCCUCAGACCAGGUCCCUAUAGAGGGGACCAGACUGGGCCAGACCAACAUGUCCCUCAGACCAGGUCCCUAUAGAGGGGACCAGACUGGACCAGACCAACAUGUCCCUCAGACCAGGUCUCUAUAGAGGGGACCAGACUGGACCAGACCAACAUGUCCCUCUGACCAGGUCCCUAUAGAGGGGACCAGACUGGACCAGACCAACAUGUCCCUCAGACCAGGUCCCUAUAGAGGGGACCAGACUGGACCAGACCAACAUGCCCCUCAGACCAGGUCCCUAUAGAGGGGACCAGACUGGACCAGACCAACAUGUCCCUCUGACCAGGUCCCUAUAGAGGGGACCAGACUGGACCAGACCAACAUGUCCCUCAGACCAGGUCCCUAUAGAGGGGACCAGACUGGACCAGACCAACAUGUCCCUCAGACCAGGUCUCUAUAGAGGGGACCAGACUGGACCAGACCAACAUGUCCCUCAGACCUGGUCCCUAUAGAGGGGACCAGACUGGACCAGACCAACAUGUCCCUCUGACCAGGUCCCUAUAGAGGGGACCAGACUGGACCAGACCAACAUGUCCCUCAGACCAGGUCCCUAUAGAGGGGACCAGACUGGACCAGACCAACAUGUCCCUCAGACCAGGUCCCUAUAGAGGGGACCAGACUGGACUAGACCAACAUGUCCCUCAGACCAGGUCUCUAUAGAGGGGACCAGACUGGGCCAGACCAACAUGUCCCUCAGACCAGGUCCCUAUAGAGGGGACCAGACUGGGCCAGACCAACAUGUCCCUC